UAAGGAAUAUUGGUCAAUGGAGGCAACUCUGAACCAGCCAUGCCGCGUGCAGGAUGACUGCCCUAUGGGUUGUAAACUGCUUUUAUACGGGAAUAAUUCCAGAUACGUGUAUUUGGUUGAAUGUACUGUAAGAAUAAGGAUCGCUAACUCCGUG
rnacentral:rRNA from 1 species